rnacentral:rRNA from 1 species
CACCAGCCCCUCGAGUGGUGGGGAUGAUUAUUUGGCCUAAAGCGUCCGUAGCCGGCCUGAUAAGUUUCCCGUUAAAUCCAACGUCUCAAGCGUUGGACUGCGGGAAAUACUGUCUGGCUAGAGAGUGGGAGAGGUUAGCGGUAUUCCGGGGGUAGGGGCGAAAUCCUUUGAUCCCCGGAGGACCACCAGUGGCGAAGGCUGCUAACUAGAACACGUCUGACGGUCAGGGACGAAAGCUGGGGUAGCGAACCGGACUAGAUACCCCGGGUAGUCCCAGCCGUAAACGAUGCAUGCUAGGUGUUGGGUUGGCCACGAGCCACCCCAGUGCCGCAGGGAAGCCGUUAAGCAUGCCGCCUGGGAAGUACGAUCGCAAGAUUGAAACUUAAAGGAAUUGGCGGGGGAGCACCACAAGGCGUGAAGCUUGCGGUUC